rnacentral:rRNA from 1 species
UCGCCUGUUAACAAAAACAUAGCUUUAUGACUAAUUUUAUAUAAAGUUUUACCUGCCCAAUGAUAUAAUUUAAAUGGCCGCAGUACUUUGACUGUGCUAAGGUAGCAUAAUAAAUUGACUUUUAAUUAAGGUCUGGAAUGAAAGGAUAAAUGAAUAUAAACUGUCUUUAAUAAAUUUACAUUAAUUUUCUUAAAAGGUGAAAAUUCCUUUGAGUAUAUUAAAAAGACGAGAAGACCCUAGGAGUUUUUAAUAAUUUUUGUUGGGGCAACACUAUAACAGAUAAUUUAUAGUAGUAUAUUAUAAAUUAAACGAAACAUUUUAAUUAUAAAUAAACUACCCUAGGGAUAACAGCAUAAUUUAUUGUUAAAUGAGUUUGUGACCUCGAUGUUGGACUAAGGACUUUAAAUAUUAACUAUAUUUAUUGGGUUGUUCUGUUCGAACAUUUUAUACUUACGUGAUCUGAGUUCAGACCGGA